AUUAGCAGAGGCUUUUAGCAUGAAUUACACAAGAAUGGGGGCUAAGGAUAUGUGUACUAACUUGAGUUACUACACUGGAGGGGUUUAUUCUCCCUUGAUUGCACGUAGCUUCUUAUGACCGCUCACGCAGCUACAGAUUUUUGUAUACUUGGACCUGGUGGAUGCACUGCUAGCCUAAACAGUUCCAUGGAAUCUUUUGGUUUUCUUAGGGCACGUGUAACCUGCAGUACUCAAGAGCUUCUGUUUAAAUAGCCUUUCUGCACCACCUAUAUUGGUCAGAGGAGGGAAACUUUUAACUUUCCAAGUUGAUCUCUGCCACAGAACAGAUCCUCUGCCUGCCCUGUAUUCUGGUGAACAAUGUGUACAGUGUUUCAUGUUCCAGAAGGAGAUGGAUGAAGGGUUCCAGGAAACUGAAGUGCUUCUGAGAGCCCUGUGCUGCUCCUGUACACGUUUAAUGACUCUAAAGGAAAGCAGGUUCUAUAAAAUGUCCUACAGUUUCAUCUGUGUUUCUGAAAUGCAGCAGCAUUUGCUUGAUGUUACAGCAUGAACUUUAGCCCAGCUGGGUAGUUUGUCUUCAAGCAACACAAAUGCCUGACUGUCAGAAAUACCUUCAAUAUUAAACUCUGUGCCUUUAAGGGGGGUGCAUUUGGCAUUAAACAGACUUACCAUCUAAUGAAUUUCUCAAGUUACAAGAAUAAUGGCCUUUUUAAUCUUAGCAAGAAUAAUUAAACAGACAUUUGUUAUUAAUGAUGUUGUUAAUGGCAGCAGAUAUUGAAUUUUCUCUGUAGAUAUCAUAAAGUUGUGUGGUGAUUUUUUUGGAGGUUUUUGUUAACUUGAUUGGGCAGUGAAGCUAAAAAUGUAGAAUAUAAUUUUUUCUUCCUUCUGGAGGUAUUAAUUUUUGCCACAUAUCUAGAAGACUCUUCUUUGCCUUCAUUUUAUUCUUAUUGGAGAUCCUUGCCUUUGCCUUCCUUCACUGGCUAAUCUGAUAGCAAACACACUAGGUCAGCCUUCUACCACCUGUGAGUAGCCUGGAAUGAUUCCUGUAGGAAGGAAUGUGAAUGGCAGCAACUAUUUCUGCAGUCCUUACACUGGGUUUGCUGAAAGUUCUUGUUUGUGUUUUGCCUCAGGGAAAUAUGAGUUUGUUGCAUGUCCAGGGACCAUGCCGAUCUGUGCUCUCCCCUGUUCUCUGAUUGUCUGGGAUUGCAUGCAAAUACUGACAGGGUGCAACGCAUUCUCCAGGAAGCAGUUACUCAACCCUGGUCAAUGCUGUGGAGCAGUCAGCAGCUCCAGCGGUGUCCCUGUGGAGGAGUCUCCUUCACUCUGCUUCUCUUACACAUUCAUUUUCUGUACUAUGGUUUCAGAUAUCCCUAUGCUAGGCUUCCUGCUCAUUGCUUUUUCCCUUGGUUUGUGGAAAUCACUUGUCAGUAGUUAUGGUAAUCACAACAUCUUGUGGUCUUUCCUUUACUAGUCCUCAGGGAAAUGACAUGUGGGUUUAUUAGUGUGUGGGUUUCUCAGACCUUUGUGAUGGGAAGACAAUUUAAUCAGAAUAAUUUUUCCAUGAAAUGAAGGCCUUUUCUGACCAGGCUUAGAAACAGCUUUUUCAGUGGCAUGGGACCCUGCUUGACUCAUGUGCCUUUCACAUCUUAAUUUCUCCUGAGAAAAAUGCUUUACAAAAGCUUUAAGAAAUCCUCUGAACUCCAGAGACCAGGAUUUGUCUGCUUUUGGAUUGUGUCUGUCAGUGGCUGCUUUCCAAGCUCUCAUGUUUCUGUGAAUUCCAGUUUACACCUUUUAAAAGCACUCCUUCUGAUUUGGCUUGCUCUCCUCCUGGGUUUGCUCUCUGCUCCCAGCCCGUUCCAAUCACAUGCAAAACCUGCAGCUUCUGCUGGUCCUCCAAGUAUUACUUUACAUUUUAAAGAAGGGGAAAACCCCCUAAGCAAGACAAAGAGCCCUGGCAUUAGUUGCUAAUUUCCCUUUCUCUGUCAAGAUUAUGUUAGUAGCUCUGAGUAAUUUGGUCUGAUUUUCUCAGGGGACUAGGACUGAAAUAAUGCAAUGUUUAUUUUUAUACAAAUUCUCACAGUGCUACAAUGUUUCAGAGACUUCCUGGGAUGUUUCUAGUUUUUUUUUUCACAGACGAAAAGGCUGUUCUCAGAGGUAGCUCCUUCAUGUAAACCUAAAAAUGGCACUUUCCCACAAUACAGCUUAUCAGGAAGUUUAAAGUUCAGUAGUCUCUCUCUCGCUCUCUCUCCCUGUCUCACACACAUGAAAGUAAAGAAUAAAAAAUGAAGGGGCUGUUCCAGUUCUUCUGAGAGUUGCUUUUCAAUCAUACUGUUUCAGUGUGCUGACUGAUCAUAAUGGCUUGGUGGGGCCUGUGAUGGCCUAACAACAGAAUGAGGCAACAUUUGUGGAGAAAUAUAGCCACUUUUAUUCAAUAAAUUGUGAUGGAUUCACUCAGUGAGUUACGAGUGCUCAUAACGCUGCUCUUGCUUACACACAUAUGGAUAUGGGCAUAAAGCUAACCUCAACUACUAAGGCAUUAAAAUUGGAAUGUCAUGAUUCUGCUGCCUCCUGAGUGUCUGAAAUGGUUUGAUUAGGAAUAACUAAG
ensembl:lncRNA